GGCUGAGAUGGAUCUUGAGGCGGCAAAGAACGGAACAGCCCGGCGCCCCCAGGAGCGCGGAGGGCGACUUUGAACUGGGCAUCAGCAGCAAAGAAAACAGGAAAAAAACGAAGAAAGUGAAAAUGAUUGGAGUAUUAACAUUGUUUCGAUACUCCGAUUGGCAGGAUAGAUUGUUUAUGUUGCUGGGUACCUUCAUGGCCAUAGCUCAUGGAUCAGGUCUCCCCCUCAUGAUGAUAGUAUUUGGAGAGAUGACUGACAAAUUUGUAGAUACUGCAGGAAACUUCUCCUUUCCAGUGAACUUUUCAUUGUCGCUGCUAAAUCCAGGCAAAAUUCUUGGAAGAAGAAAUGACUAGAUAUGCAUAUUACUACUCAGGAUUGGGUGCUGGAGUUCUUGUUGCUGCCUAUAUACAAGUUUCAUUUUGGACUUUGGCAGCUGGUCGACAGAUCAGGAAGAUUAGGCAAAAGUUUUUUCAUGCUAUUCUACGACAGGAAAUAGGAUGGUUUGACAUCAACGACACCACUGAACUCAAUACGCGGCUAACAGAGUAGGUACAUUGUUAAUGUCACACUUUCAUACAGAAAUUAAUUACUAUGUGAAAAUUUGUCAAGGAAAGAUUUUAAAUAAAAAGUGUUACUAGAUUGAGCAUCUGAUCUAUAUUAGAAAUCGAUCAUCUGGCAGCCAUGUCUAGCAGCAUCUCUAGCCAUUGCAUGAUGGUUUUCCCCCAAGGUGCAUAGUAGGUUUAUUUGAGGACUGAGCUCACAUCUUAUACCUGUUUAUUUCUCAUGGAACUUUCUACUGCAGGACCUGACAGGUGCUAGACUCUCAGUAAAGAUGGUUGAGUGAAUGAAUAGAUGAUUGAAUUAAUUUACAAAGAGACUUGCUUUAGUAAUUGUCGACUCUUCACUUAUUCAACAAAUAUUUGAGGGUUUUUCAUGUGCUAAGUACCAUUCUAUGUGUUCAUAAUGUAUCAGUGAACAAAGCACAGAUCUCUGUCCUUUUGGUGCUUACAUUCCAGUAGGUGGAGAUAGAUGAUAAACUUUCCUGACUGGGAGUUCUGGCAAGGGCAUCCUGAGCAAAUAAGUCAAAAAAAAAAAAAAGAGGGAAGA
rnacentral:sRNA from 1 species